UGGGGAAUUUUGGACAAUGGGCGCAAGCCUGAUCCAGCCAUGCCGCGUGCGGGAAGAAGGCCUUCGGGUUGUAAACCGCUUUUGUCAGGGAAGAAAUCUUCUGAGUUAAUACCUCGGGGAGGAUGACGGUACCUGAAGAAUAAGCACCGGCUAACUACGUGCCAGCAGCCGCGGUAAUACGUAGGGUGCAAGCGUUAAUCGGAAUUACUGGGCGUAAAGCGUGCGCAGGCGGUUUUGUAAGACAGAGGUGAAAUCCCCGGGCUCAACCUGGGAACUGCCUUUGUGACUGCAAGGCUUGAGUGCGGCAGAGGGGGGAUGGAAUUCCGCGUGUAGCAGUGAAAUGCGUAGAUAUGCGGAGGAACACCGAUGGCGAAGGCAAUCCCCUGGGCCUGCACUGACGCUCAUGCACGAAAGCGUGGGGAGCAAAACAGGAUUAGAUACCCCUGGGUAGUCCACGCCCUAAAACGAUGUCAAACUGGUUGUUGGGAAGGUUCCUUCUCAGUAACGUAGCUAACGCGUGAAGUUGACCGCCUGGGGAGUACGGCCGCAAGGUUGAAACUUAAAUGAAUUGAC
rnacentral:rRNA from 1 species